GGACAAUUCACUUGUGCCUGAGAUGAGAAAGGACAGACCUGGACAUUGAGAGGUGAGAACCAUGUGGAUUCCUUCCCACAGGACUUCAGCAUUUCCAGACUGGGAGACAGCGGGCAGUGGGCUGAUGGGAGGAAAGCCCAGCUCUCAACUGAGUCACUGAAUCAUCAGACGAUUCACAGAAUUUGUGUCUACCCUCAAGUAUGAGUCUAGGAAAGGAAAUGUGGUUCCCCAAGUCAAUUUUAUAAAUGUGAAAAAAACAAGAGUACAUGAGGACAAGUAUUUUCAGUGGGGAAUUCUGAGACACAUCCUUCAUCCCAGCAGACUACCAUAGAGGAUGAGGCCAACUCAUCCAUGUGCUAGUUAAAGAGAUGAAUUACUUUCUGUUCCUCUUCAAUUUUCCUGUAAACAUUGUGACUGUGCAGCCCAUUUUAUAUAGUAUCCCAAUCUCAGUAGAGAAAGCAGUCUAACACUGUUGCCAGGAAAGAGAAGGAGAGUGAGAAUUAUGCUGGAGAGGAUUUGUGAGAGCCGUAGAAUCACAGUGGUUGAAAAGGAUCUGUGGAGGUCAUCUCAUCCAAACUCUUCCACAAGCCCAAUCUAAGGCUGCUGAGGGCCAUGUUCAGAUGGAUUUUUAAUAUCUUCAAGGCAGGAAUUUAUCUCCAGGCAGCCUGGUCCAGAGUCUGAUGACUCUUGUGGUGACUUUUUCCUUUAUAUUCAAAGCAAAUUUUCCAUCUUGUAUAUUUUGUCACUUAUCCUAUCUCUGUGCAACCCUAAGGAGUAUAUCGUUCCAUCUUCUUUGUAUCAUCAUGCAGUUGUAGGUAUCAGUGCCACUUCCCAAAGUAGAGCAAAAGCAGCUCCCUCAGCUUCUCCAUUUAUUUCCUGUGUUCCAACAUACAGACUAUCUUGGCAUCUCUGCUAAGACAUACCAAUAUGUCAGUGAUUUUCUUUGGUCAAAAUGGUAAAUAAGAAACAGUCCAAGUGCUGUGGACUUCAAGUGUAAGGAACAGGAUGAGGUCAUUGUUGUAUGCAUGCAUUUUAGAACAGUAAUCUGAAGUUCUGUCUCUUCUAAAUUUAUGCUUAAUUAUCAAAUUAAAGAUGUUUGUCAACAUUGAUGUUUCCCCUCAAAAGAAAAGUUCUCCUUUAAAUGAGUGAUAAAAUGUUGAUUUGAAAGUAAAGAAAGCAAAGACAAGCUUUUUAGUCUUCAGUUCCAUUUGUGAGGAUCAAGGUUCAAAUCCAAAGGCAAGAUAAGCAGAGAAGGGUUAUCCUGGAUUUAAGUAAGGCAACUUGAGGUUGAUUAAAAACUGAAUGAAUGGCUGGGACCAGAGGGUUCUGGUCAGUGGUAUAAAGUCUACUUGGAGGCCAGAGACUAGCAGCGUACACCAGGAUUCUAUACUGAGUCUAUUUUUGUUAAACUUCUUAAUCAUGACCUGAAUGAUGGGACAGAGUGUGCCCUCAACAUGUUUGCGGAUGUCUCAAAACUGGAAGGAGAUGCUGAUAUACCCGAGGGUCAUGUUGCCAUCCAGACGGAUCUGGACAAGCUAGAGAGGUGGGCUGACAGGACCUUCAUAAAUGUCAACAAGAAGUACAAGUUGCUUGACGGUUUAUGGACUGUUUUUUUUGUUUGUUUGUUUGUUUUGGGGGGAAGUAUAUUAUGAUUGGUUAAAACAUACAUAAAUAUUGUCAUAUUUUCAGAGUACUUGAAUGUGAUUUUUAAUAAUCUAGUGCAUUACUUGGUAGCAAAUCCACCAGACAAACAUGCAUGAUUUGAUUUACAAGACUAAAAUCCUACUUUAAUAUCAUUUGUUCUUGGGAGAGAUUACUUGCAGCAGUAAACAAGUAAAGCUCAGGUUUUACCUAGCCUUGAAGCUUGUAGGCCUUUUCCAGCAAAGAGUUCUGCCAAAGUCAGUAAGAGACCUGUCUAAAAGAAAGACUGAGAAUUUGAGGAAAUUCACAGCUCUUAGGAUUUUGAGACAUAGUUUGUAUAUCAGACAUUAACAACCCCAUAAAUCAUGAAGAUUAAAAGAAGAAACUUUGCCAGUAUUGUAACUUAACAUAAGUGUAUGCAAAGAACAAACUGAACUAACUAUUCAGUAUUUUUUUUAACGUUUUUACAGAUUACAGUAACUUAUCCAGGGUAUGGCGCAUACACUUUUCAUUUUAGUUAAGUAACAACAGCUUUUAUCAGUUGAUUUCUACACAUCCUGCCAUGGCUGCAUUUUUCAAACAUCAUGGUUUCAGCAGAAAUAUGACAAGAACUAGAGGAAAUCAUGCUUUUAUAGAUAGUUAAGAUUUUGUUUGGACUUUGGAGAAAAGGGCUGAGGGCAUAAUUCCUCUUCUGUUACAUUUUCAGUCAUCAUUUUGCUUACUAUAUAUGAAGCAACUCUAGAAAGAUAAUCUGCUAUAUAUUCUUUCCCUAGAGAUGCUUUUACAUGUACCACAUGAAAAAUAAAAAACAUAUAUAGAUUGUUUUUAUGUAACAGAGGGUUUAUAAUCAUUGCUGCGGGUCCAUAACAUAGGUUUGGAAUGUGCUGUGAACUAAUGUCAGAUCUUCACUGUCAUCACCCAAACCAUUAGUGACUACCUGGUGGAUGAUCUGAUGUUCCAGAAACAGUUAUAUGCCAGUACUGACUGCAACAUUUCUGUAUAUGUCAUUGAGAGAAAGAGGUUGUUGACCUAGUCAACCUGUAAGGCCCACAUAAAUCUUGACUGAUGUGGUAUCACCACAAAUGCCUCUUAUUUCCUUGUUCAGCCUGAAGGAUUUUCUAUGAUAAAUUAGUUUUCCUCCUUAUCCAGACUCACCCCUCUCAUCAUUUCUCCCAUCACUUUUCUUCCUUUAGUUGUCUGAAGUCCUUCUGUUAGAAUCUGUCUGUGCAACAGAUGUAUUUGGAUUUGGAAACUGGUAUAGAAAAGUGGUUUGCCCAAACUACAGUGGGUUCUGGAUAACUGAAAACUAACCCAGGGAGAGCAGGAGACAAACAGAACAUUAUGAUCUAGGUGCUACUAAAGUCUGAGAAAUUAAUUUCUUCUCUGAAAGAUGACACUCUAGUAAUUAUUAUUUUUAAUGAAUCAUCAGAGUUUUUCUUAAAUUUUUGUUAUAUAGGAAAAUAUGGGGCCUGUGCCUCAAAGAACAGCUUUUCUAAUGAGGAAGGAAGGAAGGAAGGAAGGAAGGAAGGAAGGAAGGAAGGAAGGAAGGAAGGAAGGAAGGAAGGAAGGAAGGAAGGUGGCUAAGUUUUGUUAUAAUGUGUUUUUCAUUUAAAAGUAUCUCCUUGAAAAAAGUGAAAAGGUUUUUAUGUCAGCUGCUGCCUGUUAGACUAAACAAUGUUCUCACAGAAUUUUAAGGUAUUUUUUCUUACAGUUUUGUACUGGCACUUCAAAAGACAGUGUAGUAAAAGGGCCCUGAGGAUCCCAAAUUUCUUAGUCAUAAAUCACUCAGGUAACAGCAAUAUAAGUUUGAUAUUGUUUUAUUAAAAAAAAAACAAAAAAAAAACCUCUUUAUAAAGCCAUUCUUAAAAGAAACCUCAAUCUUUCUUGUCCACCACUGUGCCUGACGAAGAUGAAAUGCAUGCCUGUGGUUGGUAUUGGUUUUUCAACUUUAGCUGAGUUGCCAAGUAUUUCAGCUGGCAAUAUUUGUACUUCAGAAGCCAUGAAGCAAUUUAACUCCACUAUUCUGUUGAAAUAAUUUCAAUCCUUUUCAAAAUGCAAAAAGAUGGAUUUAAUAUGGGGUUGUUUUUUUACAGGCAGCCCUACUAAAUACCAGGUUGGAUUAAAUGUAUACAAGUAAUAUUACAAAUGCUAACAGUUUCUGUUUUAUGUAACAGCAAUGGCAUCUACUCUGUAAAUAUUGCAAAACCACAUAUAUAUACUGAGUACUAACACAGUUACACAUAGCCUCAAGAUUAUUGUAUGGUUUAAAAGAUAUGUAUUUGUAAUGACUUAUGGUAAAUGUGCAACUGCUCACAUAUUCAAACUUGAAAAGAAUAUCAUUGCAAAGUCAGGCAUUAAAAAGUUACAAAA
ensembl:lncRNA